rnacentral:rRNA from 1 species
UGUCUAGGGGCUCAAACCUAAAGAACCUAAAUAUCUAAACGGAGAAAUUCAAUACUGCCUUUAAAACGUAGUGUGCACUUUUCUCUUAGUAAGACGCCGUGAUCCAUUAGAAAUUGAUACAUACAAAAUGUAUAUUGGGUCAUCAAUAGGCCAACAUGAAGUUUAUCGGAACAAAUGUCAUAAUCUUUUACGGUUGUGUGUAUUGUCUAGUAAGCAUGUUGUGUUAUCCUGUAAUGACUGUCUGAUGGAUUUUAUGGAUCGCUAUCAAUGAUGUCUCGUACAUCACUCACGUAAGUGAGAUUAUGAUACGUAUCUGAUCAACGGCGGUUAAAUUUGGGAUACCUUUUGGACCCGUCUUGAAACACGGACCAAGGAGUCUAUCUAGUAUGCGAGUAAAUGGAUAAUUUAUGAAAUCUAUUUGCAUAAUAAACUUGACUGUUUUUUAAUGGGAAUACGAGUAUCUGUAAUAAUAUACUCUUCCAUCCCGGGGUAUUUUCAUCAACAUAUGUGUAUGCAUAUGGAAAAUAUACCAUGAGCACACUGGAUACGACCCGAAAGAUGGUGAACUAUGCCUGAUCAGGUCGAAGUCAGGGGAAACCCUGAUGGAGGACCGAAGCAGUUCUGACGUGCAAAUCGAUUGUCAGAAUUGGGCAUAGGGGCGAAAGACCAAUCGAACCAUC